AAAGGAAUAGACGGGGGCCCGCACAAGCAGUGGAGUAUGUGGUUUAAUUCGAAGCAACGCGAAGAACCUUACCAGGUCUUGACAUCGAGUGAAGAACGCAGAGAUGUGUUCGUCCUUCGGGACACAAAGACAGGUGGUGCAUGGUUGUCGUCAGCUCGUGUCGUGAGAUGUUGGGUUAAGUCCCGCAACGAGCGCAACCCUUAUCAUUAGUUGCUACGCAAGAGCACUCUAAUGAGACUGCCGUUGACAAAACGGAGGAAGGUGGGGAUGACGUCAAAUCAUCAUGCCCCUUAUGACCUGGGCCACACACGUACUACAAUGGGCGUUAACAGAGGGAAGCAAAGCCGCGAGGUGGAGCAAACCCCUAAAAACGUUCUCAGUUCGGAUUGCAGGCUGCAACCCGCCUGCAUGAAGCCGGAAUUGCUAGUAAUCGCGGAUCAGCAUGCCGCGGUGAAUACGUUCCCGGGCCUUGUACACACCGCCCGU
rnacentral:rRNA from 1 species